UCCAUCUCUGGAUUUUCAGUUAGUCUAAAGUUGCCCAUUUGCCACCAACACUGAACAUCCAGGAUGGACUGCUUCAGAUCGGAUGAUCCAGCUGCACUGAGAGCCUCCCUGCUCUAUGAUGAAAACAAUGAUAACGGAGCUCUGUGGACCAGGACCAGUCAGGACGCUCCCCUCCCUCUCUGUUCCUCCUCCCAUCCUCCUGACUCCAGCUGCCUGGUCUGUACCAACCAGACGGUCUUCGUGGUGUGUCGUAACCUAACCAAAGGAGUCAAAGUGAUGAUGGAGGCUGGAAUAGACCAGGUCAUCCUCUCUAAGAGUGAAUGCCCUGAACUCUACUCUGACACCUGUCGUUUUGUCUCUGUCUCUUGUAGCUAAUGUGACUGAGGGGUAAGAGUCAAACCAUUUCCAGCUCUGUCUUCCUCGUGUCUCACUGCUGCUGUCUGUGUCUGACAGAUCCACAAUCACAGCUGCCUGUUAUCAUCUCCUCCAUCCUCAUCCCCUUCAUCAUCCUCAUUGUGGGGGUUUUCUGUUGGAAACGCUGCAGGAAGAGAAGGUAGG
rnacentral:lncRNA from 1 species